rfam:Streptococcus sinensis strain HKT4 scaffold9, whole genome shotgun sequence.
UUAAGUGACGAUAGCCUAGGAGAUACACCUGUACCCAUGCCGAACACAGUAGUUAAGCCCUAGAACGCCGGAAGUAGUUGGGGGUUGCCCCCUGUGAGAUAUGGAAGUCGCUUAGC